rnacentral:rRNA from 1 species
GACGAACGCUGGCGGCGUGCCUAACACAUGCAAGUCGAACGGAGUUCCUUCGGGGACUUAGUGGCGAACGGGUGAGUAACGCGUGAAGAACCUGCCUUUCAGUGGGGGACAACAGUUGGAAACGACUGCUAAUACCGCAUAAUGUUAUUUGGGGGCAUCCUCGAAUAACCAAAGAUUUAUUGCUGAAACGGAUAGGCUCGCGUGACAUUAGCUAGAUGGCGGGGUAACGGCCCACCAUGGCUACGAUGUCUAGGGGGUUCUGAGAGGAAGGUCCCCCCACACCUGGAACUGAGACACGGUCCAGACUCCUACGGGAGGCAGCAGUGAGGAAUAUUGGUCAAUGGUCGAAGGACUGAACCAGCCAUGCCGCGUGAAGGUGACGGCCCUAUGGGUCUUAAACUUCUUUGUAAGGGAGCAAUAAGUUCUAACGUGUAGGAUGAUGAGAGUACCUUACGAAUAAGCAUCGGCUAACUCCGUG